UUCUGUAUGCUCCAUUUCUGAUUCUUGUACUCCAGUUUGUUCUUCUAGCCAUAAGACUGUUGCUUUGCCUUUAAAGGUAAAUAGUUCCAUUUGUAAUAAUAAUACUGAUGCAACUGACAUGAAUUACAUUUGGCAUUUAAGACUGGCUCAUAUUCCAUUUGCAAACAUGAAACACAUUCCUGCUUUAUCAUUUUCUUUUGCUUCCAAACAACCAUUUCCUUGUUCUAUUUGUCCUAUGGGUAGGCAAACCAGACUUCCUUUCCCUGACAGUUCAAUCAGUACAUGUAGACCUUUCCAACUGAUUCAUGUAGAUACUUGGGGCCCUUAUCACACACCCACCUCAUCUGGCUCAAGGUACUUUCUUACUAUAGUUGAUGAUUUUUCUAGAGCAACCUGGACACAUUUACUGGGGUCUAAAAGCAAUGUCCUCUAGCUCAAGGUACUUUCUUACUAUAGUUGAUGAUUUCUCUAGAGCAACCUGGACAUAUUUACGGGGGUCUAAAAGCAAUGCAUUCUGCCUAAUUAAGUCCUUUCUGUGUAUGGUUAAGACUCAGUUUAAUGCUACUGUACAAACUAUAAGAAGUGAAAAUGCUUUGGAAUUGGGGUCUAGUCUUGAUGGUACUUCUUUCUUCAACCAACAUGGCAUUAUUCAUCAAACUACUUGUCCCCACACUCCUCAACAAAAUGGUGUUGUUGAAAGAAAACAUAGAACCCUUCUUGAAGCCUGUAGAGCUUUACUUUUUCAAUCCAAAUUACCCAUCCAUUUUUGGGGGGACUGUUUAUUGACUGCUACAUACUUGCUUAAUAGGAUACCAUCCAGAAUUCUUCACAAGAAAUCCCCUUAUGAAAUAUUGUAUGGGAAGGCACCUACUUAUUCACAUUUAAGGGCAUUUGGUUAUCUUGCCUAUGCUA
rnacentral:lncRNA from 1 species